AUUGAACGCUGGCGGCAUGCCUAACACAUGCAAGUCGAGCGGAUGAAGGGAGCUUGCUCCUGGAUUCAGCGGCGGACGGGUGAGUAAUGCCUAGGAAUCUGCCUGGUAGUGGGGGAUAACGUCCGUAAACGGGCGCUAAUACCGCAUACGUCCUGAGGGAGAAAGUGGGGGAUCUUCGGACCUCACGCUAUCAGAUGAGCCUAGGUCGGAUUAGCUAGUUGGUGGGGUAAAGGCCUACCAAGGCGACGAUCCGUAACUGGUCUGAGAGGAUGAUCAGUCACACUGGAACUGAGACACGGUCCAGACUCCUACGGGAGGCAGCAGUGGGGAAUAUUGGACAAUGGGCGAAAGCCUGAUCCAGCCAUGCCGCGUGAGUGAAGAAGGUCUUCGGAUUGUAAAGCUCUUUAAGUUGGGAGGAAGGGCAGUAAGUUAAUCCCUUGCUGUUUUGACGUUACCAACAGAAUAAGCACCGGCUAACUUCGUG
rnacentral:rRNA from 1 species